rnacentral:rRNA from 1 species
AGUGAACGCUGGCGGUAGGCCUAACACAUGCAAGUCGAACGGCAGCACAGUAAGAGCUUGCUCUUACGGGUGGCGAGUGGCGGACGGGUGAGGAAUACAUCGGAAUCUACUUUUUCGUGGGGGAUAACGUAGGGAAACUUACGCUAAUACCGCAUACGACCUACGGGUGGAAGCAGGGGAUCUUCGGACCUUGCGCGAUUGAAUGAGCCGAUGUCGGAUUAGCUAGUUGGCGGGGUAAAGGCCCACAAAGGCGACGAUCCGUAGCUGGUCUGAGAGGAUGAUCAGCCACACUGGAACUGAGACACGGUCCAGACUCCUACGGGAGGCAGCAGUGGGGAAUAUUGGACAAUGGGCGCAAGCCUGAUCCAGCCAUACCGCGUGGGUGAAGAAGGCCUUCGGCUUGUAAAGCCCUUUUGUUGGGAAAGAAAAGCAGCAGGUUAAUACCCCGCUGUUCUGACGGUACCCAAAGAAUAAGCACCGGCUAACUUCGUG